rnacentral:rRNA from 1 species
UCGGGAAUUUUGGGCAAUGGGCGAAAGCCUGACCCAGCAACGCCGCGUGAGGGAUGAAGUAUUUCGGUAUGUAAACCUCGAAAGAAUGGGAAGAAUAAAUGACGGUACCAUUUAUAAGCUCCGGCUAACUACGUGCCAGCAGCCGCGGUAAUACGUAGGGAGCAAGCGUUGUUCGGAUUUACUGGGCGUAAAGGGCGCGUAGGCGGCGCGGUAAGUCACUUGUGAAAUCUCUGAGCUUAACUCAGAACGGCCAAGUGAUACUGCUGUGCUAGAGUGCGGAAGAGGCAACCGGAAUUCUUGGUGUAGCGGUGAAAUGCGUAGAUAUCAAGAGGAACACCUGAGGCGAAGGCGGGUUGCUGGGCCGACAUUGACGCUGAUGCGCGAAAGCCAGGGGAGCAAACG